rnacentral:lncRNA from 1 species
AGGAGAGGGGUCAAAACAGGUAUAAGAAAAAAUUCAAAGAAGAAGUACCUUAAAUGAAAAGGGGGCAAAUUCUGCUUUCAUCUAUCAGAUAGAAAUUCGGUUCACCUGUUAAAAAAAAUUUGAGAAUUUAUGUUCCACUAUUUGAAACUUUUCAUUUGAAAUACUUCAGUUUGUAUGUAGAUGGACUCCUAAAUAACUUCAAUUAGUGUAGAAAUAUUGAGUGAAAGAGAUGGAGAUAGAUAGAGGAAUACCUGAGACUUGGUAAUCCCAAAGAGAUUGAAGAUAGAGACCGGCGAUUGAAGGCCGAAGAACCUAUGAUUGAAGGGGAAAAACCUAAGGCUUGCUUCGGCGAUAUGGAUUUGGAGGCUGAGGGCUUUCUUUUGCGGGUUUACACUAAAG